CAAAAAGGAAGAAUACAAACAUUAAAUUCUUUUCGUCGCUUUGCUUUGUGAUAAAACGGUCAACAAGAAGACUUUUGGAAUUGCUAUGAAAGAAUGACACAUUUUUGAGGUUUAUGGACUAAAAUAGUUGAUUUUCCAGGAUAGAUUACCUAAGGAACCAAAAUGUUAAGACAACGGCGAGCACCGACGAAGCAAUGCAGGUCAAAUGCUCUUAUUCAAGGAAAAAGAAUAAUAUUUUUAUUAUAACUUUCCGUGGAGACUAUUUAUUGCAUUAUACUUUUGUUCAAAAUUGAUUUUAUAACAUUCUUACUUGACUAAUUUGGCUUUAGCAUGGUAACGUUGAAUAUAAUUAUUUGACAGUAUCAAUUAGACAUACAUCAAGACAA